rnacentral:rRNA from 1 species
UACAGAGGUCUCAAGCGUUGUUCGGAUUCAUUGGGCGUAAAGGGUGCGUAGGCGGCGCGGUAAGUCGGGUGUGAAAUCUUGGAGCUUAACUCCGAAACUGCAUUCGAUACUGCCGUGCUUGAGGACUGGAGAGGAGACUGGAAUUUACGGUGUAGCGGUGAAAUGCGUAGAUAUCGUAAGGGAAGACCAGUGGCGGAAGCGGGUCUCUGGGCCGAUACUGACGCUGGAGGAGCGAAAGCCGUGGGGGAGCGAACAGGG